rnacentral:rRNA from 1 species
AUACGGAGGGUGCAAGCGUUACUCGGAAUCACUGGGCGUCAAGCGCGCGCAGGCGGCUUGAUAAGUUGGAUGUGAAAGCCUACGGCUCAACCGUAGAACUGCAUCCAAAACUGUCAGGCUAGCGUGUGGGAGAGGAAGAUGGAAUUAGUUGUGUAGGGGUAAAAUCCGUAGAGAUAACUAGGAAUACCAAAAGCGAAGGCAAUCUUCUGGAACACUACUGACGCUGAGGCGCGAAGGCGUGGGGAGCAAACAGGAGUAGAUACCCUAGUAGUCC